UUUGUUAACAUGAUUUUUGUAAACAAAAAAUCCUUCGAUGAAAAAAAACAAAAGGUCCUCUCUGCAAAACAAAAAAAAAUGACGAUUGAGAGUUCUAGAUCCACCGACAAAAGCUUAUCUUCUCCGAGCUCUACCAAUAAUGUUUCCAAUGUCGAUCUGAAGCGAUCUGAGUUAAAAACGAUAAGUCGGAGAAGGAUAUUGACUUCACCUUUCCCAUCUAUACAACGAAGUCACAAGUUCUGAAGAAAAAAAAAAUGUGUUCGAAUAUGAACUGAAGCAUUAAAAAUCGGAUCUUGUUGAAAUCGAUUGAGAAAAGCUUUGGAAGAAACAUCCAAAAGAUGUUACACCGUCUAAAGACAUAAACAUAACAAAACUGUAAAGGUCUAACAUGAAAAUUCUGAAUGUUUCUCCAUACUACAACGGAAGACGCCUCCCUUUACUCUCAAUGUAAGUCAUUUUACACGUUGCGUGAAUCUUAUCACCCUUGCACUUGUAAUAAAUCAGAUUGAAAAUAUUAAGAGCACAGUCGAACUUUUAAAUAAGACAUAAACAACAAAAUAUACAUAUUUCAAAACCAUAAAUAGGCAGUUACGAUUGCUUACAUUCUCAUAAAGAUGAAUUCCAUGGUUUCACCUAAUAGUUGAAUGUUUUGGACCCAAGAGCGUAGAACCUUCACAUGAACUAAUUUAGUAGUGUGCCAGGGCCGCAAGUCUUGAAUGGUCACUUUUUCAUUAGAAGCACGCCAUGUUUGGAUUUGCUUUUGUGUAGCCAUUGCGUUGUUUGACGGUGUGGGUUUGAUUAGGAAGAUGUGAUUGCUAUUUAUAAUAGGAAGAGGUUGAAGGGAGAGGUGUUUAGGUUUUCCGUGAAACUUGUUGCAUACUCUAGAUCGUAUCUCUCGAGAUUUUGUGGUUUUGAUUUCGAUAUCAAUAAUUGUUAAUAUUAGGAAGGUUCAGUUAAAAAUUCGAAAUCCCAAGAUAUUCUAUGGGUAUUGCACAAGCAAUGUGAUUAUAUUGAAUUCUUUGAAGCGUGAUUUUAGCCAAAAAAUAUAAUCUAUUUCUCUAUAUUUUGGGUUACAUUUAAUAUAGGUAUAUGAAAUAGGGAAGCUUUGCCAUAAUAUAAUUUUUUUUAAUUUCUAAUAGGAAGAGAAAAUUACAGAAUGAGUUAAAGAAUAUACUUGGAAUAGAUUUGGUAUCCAAAUGAUAUUUUUAAUAUAUAUUUUUAAAUACUAUUUAUAAUUACACUAAAAAGCAAGAAAAUUCAGUGGCAUUUCAAAUGUAAUUAUAUGUUUUUGAAUUGAUUACGAAAAUUAGGGGAUGAGUUGAAAAAAUUAUAGUUCAAAUAGAAAAAAUAUUUAUUUAAAAAUAUUGUUAUUAGAUUUUUAAAUAAUUAUUGUUAUAAAAAAUUCGAAAUAUACCAUAGUAACUUGUGGUCAAUAUUUUAAUAAUUUUGGUUUGAUUAAAGUGUCCACCAUUACAUAUUGCAUUUUGUAAAGGAAUCAUAACAUAUAUAUGUAGGUGUCAUGCAUCAUCUAAAUAAGCUUAUUGUGAACAUUGAUUUACAUUUAUGUUUAUCUAUAUGUUAUAUUCAUCUUCGUUAGUGUUUUCAUUUCAGGGUAUAUAGGGUUUGUCAAAAAAAAAAGAUGCUUUCGAUGGGGUUUAAAUGGUAUAGGGUUUGAUCAUGAAGAUGAUUUCGGUGGGCUGGACAUUUAUUUCUGUUUGGAUUUUAAAAAAGUACAGGUUACUCUGCAGUGGGUUUAAAUAAUUUUGAUAGGCUGUAAAAAUCGAAUACUUCUGAUUGAUCUAAAAUAAUUGGCGACAUUUAUU